rnacentral:lncRNA from 1 species
GAGGAAGCUCCUUCCUGCCUGGCUCCCUGCCCAUGGUGGAGGGUCACAAGAACAUGGAACCCAGGGUCCUCAGGGUACUGUCUUAGACCAGGUGAGGCUGUGGCCCCAGGGACAUCUGGUAUGGCUGGUGAUGAAACCAGGGGAGAGGGGUCUCCACCCCCUUCCUUUUCUGACUAAUCCAGCUCCUCCACUAGACACCGUCCCGUGGCUCCCACAUUCCCACCUCAUUUUAUAGUGCCUAGCCCUCCUGGAACCCUUUCAAGAUCACUAGAGGUGGUGGAGGUAGCUACCGUGCGAUGAGUGUCACCUGGUGCUUGGCAAUGAGCUGGGCACACCUGCUCACACCAUGAUCUUAACUGAUCCUCAUCACCACCUGGCAAGGUGGACACUGCUGCCCCCCUGGGGUUCCCAGAGUCACGUACAGAAAUGUCCACGGCUACCACCGAAUAGAGCAAAGGU